GCAGUAAAUUGUGAUGGCUAGACGACUGGGUCAGAGCAUCUCCAAACAUGCAGCCCUUGUGGGGUGUUCCUCGUCUGCAGUGGUCAGUACCUAAGUGGUCCAAAAAAGGAAAAGCGGUGACCUGGCAAGGCUAGUUGAGGUAACCUCGCCUAGACAGGUCAGGGCUGUUUGGCGGCAAAAGGGGGACCCACACAAUAUUAGGAAGCAGCGUUACUGCAUUCCCAGAUCUCAAUACAUAACUUGACUGACAGCUCGGGAAUCCUGAUGAGCUGUGCCCUCUAUGCAUUUGUCAACGCUGAGCACCACGCUGCCUGCAAACACAAUAACACUGCGCCACUACAGGCAUACACAGGGGGAAUUGGACAGAUGACCUUGCUCAGUGCUCAUACGGCGUAAACCUGAGCACAAUGAGAGAUCAGCUGGUUAUUCAGGUGUAAAAUGACCAACUGAC